ensembl:lncRNA
UGGGCAUGUAGUGUGUGCUGGGCUGAUAAACAGCAUCUGGUUGGAGUCAGGCUUUCCUGUCAACGUGCCACUCAGCCCUACUGCUCUGGGUUUGACUGACACUCGGCGGUCCUCCCCGCUCGUGCUUGGGGCUUCCUCCCGGAAAACGACUGGGAACAUCAGGGUUGCAACUGGAAGGUUGUGUUUCCGACUGAUUUGCAAGGCUUGGGGAGGCGCUGAGAUUUGCAUCGUUCUGCAACAGCCGGGAUCAAAGGUGCAGCUCAGAAACGUGAGGCGUUUUGGAGCAACCUGCAAAGCAGCUGAGGAAGGCGUGGAGCUGGGAGAGCGCAGACAGACAGCGAUAGAAGACUGAAUUGCUCCGUGCGUUGAGCAAUUAAGCCAAGCCGAACGGGGCAGCGUGAACAAAGCGAUGGGGAAAUCACUGAGGCACAAAGCUGAGCUCACUGACCGCGAUGUGGUGAGGGGGCUCAAUAAGGGUCAAUUAAGCUCCCACCGCACCGCCUGGCAGACGGAAUUAAGUGCCAAUUUUCUGCACUGCUGCAGAGGCAGAGCAUUAAAAUGAUAAAUAACAGGAAGUUUCAGCCAAAAAGAAGGAGCAAGUUGGGAGAUGGGAGUUUGAGGCUGAGCCGGCAGUGAGACAGCCCUGAGCACCACUGCCCUCUGCCGCAGCCGCAGCGCUCUCCUCUACAGCAAACCCACGAGGGUGGGUGGAUGGAAGCACGCAGACCCGCGGCUCCUGGCCGGGUAGUGGGCUGCUCUGCUUAGUGCACCCCGAUGGCUGCGGGGUGUGCCGAGGUUUUGCCUCCAGCUCGUUGGGAAGCACAUUUUUCGGCCAUAGGUGGGAUGCUGCAGCACUGAGAGCGUGGUGAAGGAGCAGAGCCCUUCCUUCUAACCGAGGUAUCCACGCUCUGCUCGGGGCCAGCAGGUGCAGGCAAAGCUCCCAUUAGGGCAGACG